GGGGGUUUAGCUCAGUUGGCUAGAGCAUUUGACUGGCAGUCAAAAGGUCAGGGGUUCGAUUC
rnacentral:tRNA from 1 species